CUCCUACGGGAGGCAGCAGUGGGGAAUAUUGGGCAAUGGGCGCAAGCCUGACCCAGCAACGCCGCGUGAAGGAAGAAGGCUUUCGGGUUGUAAACUUCUUUUCUCAGGGACGAAGAAAGUGACGGUACCUGAGGAAUAAGCCACGGCUAACUACGUGCCAGCAGCCGCGGUAAUACGUAGGCGGCAAGCGUUAUCCGGAUUUACUGGGUGUAAAGGGCGUGUAGGCGGGAAAGCAAGUCAGAUGUGAAAACCACGGGCUCAACCUGUGGCCUGCAUUUGAACUUGGUUUUCUUGAGUAAUGGAGG
rnacentral:rRNA from 1 species